UUUCCGUAGGUGAACCUGCGGAAGGAUCAUUAUUGAAUAAACUUGAUGUGGUUGAGCUGACUCUUUCGGGAGUAUGUGCUCGCUCGUCAUCUUUAUCUUUCCACCUGUGCACUUUUUGUAGAUUUGGAUGUAACUGUCCGAGGCAACUCGGUUGGGAGGAAUGCUAUCUUUGAUGGCUUUCCUUGUAUGUCCAAGUCUAUGUCUUCAUAUACUCCAAGUAUGUAACAGAAUGUAUCACUGGGCCUUGUGCCUAUAAACUAUAUACAACUUUCAGCAACGGAUCUCUUGGCUCUCGCAUCGAUGAAGAACGCAGCGAAAUGCGAUAAGUAAUGUGAAUUGCAGAAUUCAGUGAAUCAUCGAAUCUUUGAACGCACCUUGCGCCCCUUGGUAUUCCGAGGGGCAUGCCUGUUUGAGUGUCAUUAAAUUCUCAACCUUACUAGCUUUUGCGAAGUAAUGGCUUGGACUUGGGGGUCUUUUGCUGGUUUCGAAAGAGAUCUGCUCCCCUUAAAUGUAUUAGCCGGUGCCCCGCGUGGACUGUCUAUUGGUGUGAUAAUUAUCUACGCCGUUAGAUGUCUGCUAUUAAAUGGGAUGUGCUGCUUCUAAUCGUCCUCAGGACAAUUAUUGACCAUUUGACCUCAAAUCAGGUAGGACUACCCGCUGAACUUAAGCAUAUC
rnacentral:rRNA from 1 species